rnacentral:rRNA from 1 species
UGUGUAGGCUGCUUCGCAAGUCGGAUGUGAAAGCCCUGGGCUCAACCUAGGAAGUGCAUUCGAAACUGCGGGGCUUGAGUCCUGGAGAGGAAGGCGGAAUUCUCGGUGUAGAGGUGAAAUUCGUAGAUAUCGAGAGGAACACCGGUGGCGAAGGCGGCCUUCUGGACAGUGACUGACGCUGAGACACGAAAGCGUGGGGAGCAAACAGGAUUAGAUACCCUGGUAGUCCACGCCGUAAACGAUGGGUGCUAGGUGUCGCGGGCUUUGACCCCUGCGGUGCCGUAGCUAACGCAUUAAGCACCCCGCCUGGGGAGUACGGCCGCAAGGCUAAA